CGCAGGACUCUCGCCCCUACACACCUUCCUGCCAGCCAGAGGAGGGGUCUGGGACUGAGAGAAGACCAGUGCUGACUGAGGGAUUGAACUUGGGACCUUCUGCUUGAGAGGCAGGCUGUGGAACCACUGAGCUAAAUCCCUGGCCCUCCUUUUCUAAACUAUAGAAAAUUGGUGACAUUUGAACAAGUCACCCUGAUUAAUAUCUUACAACUUUGUCUUAAGCAUUGUUUCCCCCUCCACUUCUAUACAGGUAAUUACAGGUACUGUUAUUCCCAAGUAGUUUAUACAUUUUCUUUCUUUUUCUCUUUUUAAACUAAGAAUCUAACCCAGGGCUUCCUGUAUGGCAGGCAAGCACUCUAUCGCUGAGCUACACCCCAGCCCCUCUGUUGGAUAUUAACUGGUACUAUUUACAUUGAGCUGUUAAAUAUGAAAAUACUGAAACAUGAGACUUUGUAACCCUGCAGAAUGAGAAAAGGCUAUGUGAAUUAAAAAAAAAUCCAAGAGUAGAUCUUGGCAUUAACCACUUUCAAUUUUUACUAGUGAUACAUUAUCAAAUACAUCUUUAAAAAAUGAAAGCAUUCCGCUGGCUUGUUUAAAUUGCUUGUAAAGCAAUUGACAGUUAACCACUCUUGCAAUCAAAGAAGGAAUCAAAGAUGAAUGCUGUUUAGCACUGUUCACCAGGCAGAGAAAAUAGUCGACACUCAUUAAACAUCGCUUGAUACAAUAAUAAUAUAAAUUAUUGGACUCCCUAAUAAAGUAUUUCACUAAUAAUUUGCAAAGAAGUUGGCCUAAGGCUCUUCUCUCAGCAGCACUAACUUUCAUGCUUGUCACAAAGUAUUUGUAGGGGAGGUCUCAAUCUCCAAAUUUCAGAAAAGUGCUUUACAAGAAGGAAUUGUUAUUAGGGAAUCCAACAUAAUGAUUUUAAAAUUCUAAUCAUUUUUCUCUUCUCAAAAGUGCUGCGUGAAUUGCAGAAAUUAAUGAAUGCAGAGACAUAAAAGAAGAAAAAAAUGAAACCGUAAUCUUCUCUCCAAAGAUAAAACCAUGGUUAACAUUUGAUGUUUUUCCUGCUGCCAUAUAUGUAUUUUUCACAGAAAAGGGCUCAUAUUGUGUAUAUUGUUUGAUAAAUGACUUCUUCACUCAGUAACAAAUCUUGAAUUUCCAAGUCGAAAUCAUUUUUCUACAACAUCAAUUAAAUGACUAUGUUGUUAUCAUAAAUAUUCUUAUCAUUAGACAUUUAGGGUUUUUUCUAGUUUUUAAUUUUAUAAACAAUGCCACCCUGAACAACUUUAUCAGUAAAAUUCUCAACAAAUUUUUACGUUUUCCUUGAAAUAUAUUUCUGGGCCAUGGAAAUAGGAGGGAGGAAUUUGGUAAGAUUUAUCUGUAAUACAUCAAAUUUUCCUUUUUUUGCUUCUUCUUUGUUUACUUUCUUUUGUUUCUGGUCUUUUGUAGAUUAUUCAAAACCAAACAAAGCCAUCAUGGAGAACAGUGGGUUCCAGACACUUGGGUGAGGCCCUGAGAAAUGAAGUGAGCCCACACCACGACCCAGGAUGGAGUUCUCCAAGCAUAUCCUAGCAGGACCGUUUUCACUAGUCGAUGGUUCACCUCUCAUUGCUUCUUCCCAGUUGAGCUUAGAUUUCUAGAUUCCCAUGGUAGUGCUUAGCAACAUCCCUGGAGUGAUCAGGAGGAGGGGAUUCCUAUUCUAGGCUCCUCAGGCACACACAAAAGAGGGUGAGGCUGGCUGACUUGUGAGGAAGAGCAGUAGGAACAGGGAAAUACUAGAAGACAGCUCAUCAUGCUGAAUGGAUCUCCACCACCAUACCUGUAGCGCCCUGGACAGUUGAGGUAAGGGUGGGGCCAGCUAUAGCUCCAGGGUUUGCACCCAGUCUUCUUUGAGCCAAGCAAAGCUGCCAUGUGGGGUGUUCUCCCUGCAGAGAGCUUGCCUAACACUGGGCCAAGUGGCACUUUCUCAUGGCUUCACAGAAGACAGCGUCUCAUGAAGGCAAGCCAAGGACACAGACAGGGAGGAAAGGAAGUGGAAGAACAGCGAAUCAGCAUAGUAAGAAAGGAAAGGGGGGUGGAAAAAGAGGCAGGGUUCAACAGUCCAAGCCCAUGCAGUGGUUUUCACAGUGUUCUGAUUUGGAGUCUAGUUUGAAGAGGAUGAUUUCAUAGUCUGUGUAGGAAUAAGGGGCAUUUUUACUGAAAAAUGCAAAAAAAAAAAAAAAAUUCAUUUUCAGUUGUUACAUCCAGGUCAGUUUUAUGGGUACAGCUAAUCUCUGGUUAAAUGUUAACACUUCAGUUAUCCUAAGGGAAAAAUGACUGACCCCCAACCUUCCCCUUUCCCAGCAUUUGGAGAAAAUAAAGGAUUAGGUAAAAGGCUUUCAUUUUUCCUCAUUCUCCACUGUGGGCAGGGGUUCAUGUAACAGUUGGAAGCCAUUUUUAACAGGAAACCCAAGUAAAUCCAGAAGAGAUUCACUCACAGAGCUUACAUUUUGCUAGAAAAUGAGAACUUUUAACUAAAAAUUGACAAGUUUCCCCUCUCUCCAUCUUUCUUCCCUCUUAUCUCUCCUCAUCUCCCUCCCAUUGCUCUAGUGGAAAAUGACUGUGGUGAGUUGGGUUUACAUUUUGAGCAAGAUGGGAGCCUCUAUAUCCAAGAGAUGCCACCAAGAGACUACAUUUUGUUGUUGGAUCCCUGUAAAACAGAAUUUUAAUUUUCUUAGACUGUAAAAUUGAUCACAUUUACUGAUGGUGGAUUGGGAAGUACGGUGAGGUGAGUUGGGGAGGUUUCAUUUAUCCAGUGGUGUUAUUGCCAUUUUAAUGUGAUCUUCUGCUGAGUAUUUGCUUUCUAAAAUCUAUUCCCUCUCAGGAUUCUUUUUCACUCAGUCCUUUUAGAAGAUUGAUGCAAACAGAUUUCCAAUUCAUUUCCAUAGAAAGUCUUCAUUCCUGUCAGCAGGAGAGCUUUGUUAGGUGGUAGGAACAUAAGGCUGUGGGUCUCUUAACUAACACUACUAUUCCAAAAUACAGAUGCUUUCCAUCUGUGAGUCCUGAUCUCUCUCCAUUCCUCAAGAUGCUCGACUUCCAUGACUCCUCUUUCCUCUGCUCAGGUCACAUAUGUGGAGCUGGAAAGGAUCCCUGAUGAUUGGCAGUGACAAUGGUGGAAUGUGGAGGUGAAGUUAACACCUUCACACCUACAGAUUUCCCUUAGCAGAGCUGUGGAGUGUGACAAUGGUGUUUGUGUCCAAACUAUCAAACGCCAUCAUCACACUAAAUAGCUACUGCUAGGCAAUCCUUCCACUCAGUAUAAGUCUUGGCAACUGUUUGGUCUGGGCAAGAAGGCUCAUCUUAUACCAACCAGUGUUCUCUAUCAUGUGUAACUUGGAAUAAAGUCUGAUACUCUUGUGGUCAUAACUAUUUGCCUGCCUGAACCCUGCCUCUCACACGCUGUUGUUAAAUAGAUGAUAAUUCUGAUGAUAAAGAAAAAACAACUCAAAAUCAGUUUCUCCCAUUGUACACUCACAACACAAAUCACUUCUGGCACCAGAUAUUUGAGGAUCUCUCCCCAACAAGCAAGCAGUUAAUUCCACAGCAGACUCCAUCUGGGAGUCCUCUAAUCUAGUUCUGCUCUGACACUCUACCUGGAGAUAUUGUCACAUGCCACAGGGUGAAGGCUCAGUCCUCAAGAAGGCACCUCAUUCAGAUGUCAGGCACAAGCCCCAGAUUGUUUUCCCUGUGCUUCUGACCUACUUUCGAUAAAUCAGGGUUCCCACAUUGCCUCCUCGAGUUCAAUUCAUUUGUUUGAGCAGCUCACAGAACUCAGGGAAAGAUAUACUUACCUUUAAAAGCUUAUUAUAAAGCAGACGAUAAAGGCUACAAAGGAAGAGAUGCACAGAGUGAGUUUAGGGGUAGUGGGUGUAGAGCUUCCACACCCCUUCUAAGAGUGCCAUCCUCCAGUACCCUCCAUGUGUUCAGUUACCCGGAAGCUCUCUGAACUCUGUCCUUUUGGGAUUUUUAUGGAGACUUCAUUGCACACACAUGACUGAAACUUGUAUAGCCAUGUUGAAAUGUGAUUGGAUGAAAGAGAAUGAUCUAAUGAAUAGACUGGGUGGGAAAGCCUAGCAAGGACUGUCUGUCCAGAUUCUUAGCCUUUCUGUGCAGCAUUCCAUUCUUGUGGGCCUGGGGUAGCACCCCCUCCAUGUGAGGAGGUUCGAAUGACAACUAUCACGUGAGGUAGGCCGGAGUUAUAACCAGGAACUGUGGUUCAAAAUAGGUAUAAAUCAUAAUAUCACAGUGACAAUGAAUUUUCUUAUUUUCUCCAAGUCAAUAAAAAGAUUGGAGUCCUGUAGAGCCCCCAGCACAAGGUUAGGCACCUGGUAAUCAUUUAACUCAUGCCUACUCCGUUGAAAUGAAUAGUUAGGAAAGUAGAAAACUAAAACUCGGUUAAAUCUAGUUUAGGCAAACCACAGCCUCAUAGGUGCUAAGUUAAGGUAUGUGGGUCUUCCGCUUUAUAAAAAAAAUACAGUUUAAAAAAACCCAACAAUAAACUUGUCCAUGACUUAAAUGACCUUUCGGAAAUUCCAGAACAUCUUUGAUUUCUACUUAUUUUAACCAAUUACCAGGCGGAUUGCUCAAUUUGUAUGCUAAUUUCUUCUUCCUUAUGUUUCAAUGAAUUGCCAUUAGAAAGAUUAUAUAUAAAUCAUGUAUAAACUGCCAGAGCAAAUCUGAACAUUUUUAAGCCAUGCGGUUUCUUGGACAGUUGGCCCAGCUGGGUGGUCUGGUUUGGAACACAGUCUCUCUCCGAGGGCAUCUAAAGUAACAAGUAGAUUCUGUGUGUGGGCUAAAGCUUCUCCCCUGUGUCUUGGCUAGAUAAUCUAGGAUAUGUUUGAUCAAAUUGACAGGAUUGGAUCAACUGCUAGAACUAAAUCAAUCAAUCUUCAUUUAUCAAAUAAAUAUGUGCACACGGACUCCCAUGUAGCUGGCACUAGCUUAGGCCCUGGAAAUAUUUUAAAAUUAAGUGUGUCUGGCAUUGUUUCCAGAGAUAGACAUUCACUGGCUCACAUUCUGUUAUUAUGGGAUAAUUCUAAUAGUCCAAAUUACAUUUAUUACAGAAUCCAAUGAGCAAAACUUUGCAAACUGAUUCCAAGUCCCUUGCUGGAAUGCACCAGUGAGUGCAGCCCACACAGCUAGGAUCUACUGCAAAAGUUUCAAGGUCAGGAGAACUUAUUGUCCAGAGAAGAAAGGGAAGUGCAUUCCUGCCUGCCCUCACUUCCACCUCCCAUUUCUUCCCUUCUGGCAUCCUCAACUGUCAAGAGGAGAUCUAGAUCCCCCUGAAAUAAUCCAUACCCUCACAUUCUUUCUCAUGUGUGUGUGUUUUAAGAGAAAGCACUAUUGACAAGAAUUAAUCAAGGGCUUUACUAUUAUAAGAAUCACUUCCAUGAAUACUGUUUCAUUUGGCCCGUACAACACAGGGCAAAGAUGACAGGAUAUAGUCCCCUCCUACAGAAGGAAAAUGAAGACUCCAAAUGUUUUUGAACCAUCUGGUUAUGUAACCAUAAUUCAACAUAGUCCUCUUAAAUCUAAAGUUCUGUGCUUUACUUAUAUCCUUCCUUGGGCAGGUUAUUUCACAAAACCUCAUGCUUCAUGGCUGAGGUUAUGUAGAAACUGGAUUAAUCAUACCCCUAUUCGAUCCAUAUCUUCAGUUUCCCAUCUGCUUUGUUGAUGGAUUCUAGGGGAAACCCCAUAAAUAAAAGAGAGAUGAGUCAUAUAACGAUCUCCCCUUGUGAACACUCAUAAUGCAGAGAAAGCCUAAUAUUGCAAAACAUUGCAAUAGAAAAAUAAAAGAGAAGUAACACCUAUGUGGCAGUUUUGAGGUAAGGAAGGGGGUGGUCAAGUUGUCCAGACAUGGAACAGCCAUUCUAGUAAUCUGGCCCACUGAGGCAGCACUGGAUCAUUCAGCGCUCUCAGACUUGAAGGUGAUGUGACCACUUGACCCACUCAUUCUUCUUUGCUAUACUCACCCUAAGAGUUUGCUCGGGUGGAACUAUACUGGGAGCAAAUAGAAGAGGAUUCUAUAGUAUAUCUUUUUUUACCAGCUCUGCUCAUUGUAUGGCUUAUUGUAAUUGCUGCCUGGAUUAAUUCUGCAUUCAAGAUUGGAUGUCUGUUCUUUCUGUAGAUCUCUAAGGAACACACAUAGAAGACAAAACAUCCACAUCCCCACUUUAAAGACACUUUUUUUCUUUUGGUACCAGGGAUCGAACUCUGGACCUUGCGCUUGAGAGGCAGGCGGCGGAACCACUGAGAUAAAUCCCUGGCCCUUUAAAGACACUUUUAAUACAAUCCUGCUGCUCCAAAUCUCCAAUGACAGCCUCCUUUCCCAAACCAACUUUCACCUCCUCUUCAGCCCCAGGGAUGAUAUGGCCAGUCAUUUCCAAUAAAGCAUUAAUGGGGAUAGUUACUGACUCCAAAUGUGCUUCACAUGCUGACAGGCCAACUGGGCCAUGAAGUUAAAAAUCACACUGGAGCUGGGGAGGCAGCAGGACACAUAGGCAGCCACAGUGUCUUGUUUUCUUCUCCAGGCCAGGGCAACUGAGCCUCCCUUUGCUUUGUGGAUCAUGCCAGUGAGGUCCUAUGCACCCUUCCAUCUUGGUUACAGUGGGUUCCAUGAACAUGACAACUACAGCUUAGGGCCUGCCUCGCUUUUUUUUUCCAGCUCCAGGAGAGGUUUUGUGAAAUCAUAGCAUAGCUAGCAUAUGUCAAUGCCUCAUCCACACAUUUUUUUUCUGAAUUCUUCUUGAACCUGUAAACCUUUCCACUUAUAUACUUCCUAGAGAAAACAGUAGAAUCCUAGAGCUGGAAACCAGUUUGCCUUUUUUUCUGGUGAGGAAAUUGAAGGACAGGUAUUGCAGAAUUGUCUGGCUAGCUCCAGUUUUAUACCUUCCCUCCCUGACAUCAUCAGCCAUUCACUGAUCAGACCUCUGUCGUGUGGUUACUAUGUGCCUGAUAUUGAAAUGGGCUCUGGGGAUGCAAAAAAGAAGGAGGCUGUGUCCUUUCCCCAACUGGUCUCAGUCUAGGAGUUGGAUAGAUGCCUAAAUACAUCUACACCUCACUGUAUGAGAUGCCAGCACAGAGACAGAGACAGGGACCUGAGAGACUUGAAUUACAUCCUUCAUUUCUUUCCAGAUUAAAAAAAAACUCCGAGUCCUUGAUAUUAUGAUCUUUUUUUGCUACCUCGAAGAAUAUAAUCCUUCUUGUUUAUUUUGGUGAUUUAAUUGCCAAUGGGUCACGGGGGAAAGGCAUUUUUUUGUCUUGAGUGACAAUACUGUAAUAUGAAGAUAUGCUGUUUCUACUGUGCUGCUUGCCAGCCUAAUGAUUAGCCCAAGAUCUACUGGGGCUAGAGGAUGGAUCAGUAGGCUUUUCCAUUAUGUGUGUGAAGAAUUUUAAUUUCCCAAAGGAAGGGGGUAGAAUCUGAGCUGUUUGCUCACAAUAAGGGCUAGGCUGAUAAUAAAUGUACACUACCAAGGCAUUAGGCCUUCUUCUCCCAAGUCACAAAAGGCCUACUCCUUUGGGACAGGCUCAAGGAAGCUGCUGAGCGCAAACCCAUGGCAGGUUCCCUCUG
rnacentral:lncRNA from 1 species